GCUGGUUAGCGACGAAGGACAAGGUUAAAGAAGAGGAGUCCCAGAAUGAUGAUGGAACUACUUUGGAGUACUGCUGCCCCUGCUACUCUGCACUUGAGGAAGUCAUACCUGCAAAUAUUCAUGUUUUGUUUUUUUUGCAACAAACAAGGUGGUGAAGUGGUCACCAUGCAGACAUGUCAGUCCCAAGACUCCAGGUCCAAGUCCACUGAAUUUGUGACUGUAAGCAACUGAGAAUCUUCAACCUGUGCCAAUUGGCAGAAGAUUAUCCACAUACUGCCCAGAUCUGCAACUCAUACUUCAGCAGCUUCACAGAAGAACAAUGAGGGCAGCAUGGGGCCCAACUAAAGUCGAAUCAUUUCAAAUAGUCCGUUUGGGCGUUUGAUUCUGCAGGUCCUUUCCUCCCCUCUGCUCUGCCACACAGUCCCAACACCAAUCCCUUCCUCUCAUAUGUUACCAAUAGAUAAUAUAGGAGAGGGAAAAAUAGGUGUUGGGGGGCUGUGUGGCAGAGCAGAAGGGAGGAAAGGACCUGCAGAAUCGAACACCCAAACGGACUAUUUGAAAUGGUUUAACUAUAAUCAUAUAAUUAUCACACCAGCCAUGGGUGGUUAGCGUGCGGGACCCACAUUCACCAUGCCAUGGACAACAUCGGUUUGAAUCCCCACACUACCACCUGGGAUUUUUCAGUCACCGCCGAGUGGCCUAAGACUACCUACAUGCUGUCCAAACCACCCAUCAACCCUGACUCUCGAAGAAACCGUCCAAGUGAAUCAAGAAUGAGUUCCAGGGGGCAGCAUGAGCGAAAACCUAACUGCCGCCACUAUAAAACUGCCUGCGUCAUGACGGGCUUGGGCCAACCACCAAGCCCUGCAGAAAGCCUCUUGGCGCUACAAAAACAGCCACUUGAUAUAACAUUCGCUCACACUACUAAUGGGCUGUGGCCAUUGACCUGGCUUUUCACCUAUGGGCAACAAGUGCACACAAAAUAAAUAAAAUAAAAACCUGAUGCCUGUGUACACUACUAGAGGACUUGAUGAUGCUUUGGCCAUACUCUCCAACUCACUCUUCUGGAAUUGUGAUUAUUUAAAUGUGUCAAGCAUGGUUGUGUAAAAUUAAGAAUAACGCUGAAUUUUUCUCUUC